rnacentral:lncRNA from 1 species
CCCCUAUAUCCACAUGACUCAGCUCCGUACCCCUAUAUCCACAUGACUCAGCUAUGUACCCCUAUAUCCACAUGACUCAGCGCCGUACCCCUAUAUCCACGACUCAGCUCCGUACCCCUAUAUCCACAUGACUCAGCUCCGUACCCCUAUAAUCCACAUGACUCAGCUCCGUACCCCUAUAUCCACGACCCAGCUCCGUACCCCUAUAAUCCACAUGACUCAGCUCCGUACCCCUGUAUCCACAUGACUCAGCGCCGUACCCCUGUAUCCACGACUCGGCUCCAUACCCCGAUAUCCACGACUCGGCUCUGUGCCCCUAUAUCCACAACUCAGCGCUGUACCCCUACAUUCACGCAACUCAGCUCCGUACCCCUAUAAUCCACUUUACUCAGUGCCGUACCCCUAUAAUCCACAUUACUCAGCGCUGUACCCCUAUAUCUACAUGACUCAGAGCCUUACCCCAUAUCCAUGUGACUCAGCUCCUCACCCCUAUAUCCACGUGACUCAGCACCAUGCCCCUAUAAUCCACUUUACUCAGCGCUGUACCCCUAUAUCCACCGCACCUAGCGUGUGGGAAGUUCGUGCAGAGUUGUUUCUUUUUUUGAG